rnacentral:rRNA from 1 species
UACAUGGGGUGCAACCGUUGCUCGGACUUAUUGGGCGUAAAGCGCGCGUAGGCGGUUACUCAAGUCGGAUGUGAAAGCCCUCGGCUUAACUGAGGAAGUGCACCCGAAACUGAGUAGCUAGAGUACUAAAGAGGGUCGCGGAAUUCCCGGUGUAGAGGUGAAAUUCGUAGAUAUCGGGAGGAACACCGGUGGCGAAGGCGGCGACCUGGGUAGAUACUGACGCUGAGGCGCGAAAGCGUGGGGAGCAAACAGG